rnacentral:rRNA from 1 species
AUUGAACGCUGGCGGCAGGCCUAACACAUGCAAGUCGAACGGUAACAGGAAGAAGCUUGCUUCUUUGCUGACGAGUGGCGGACGGGUGAGUAAUGUCUGGGAAACUGCCUGAUGGAGGGGGAUAACUACUGGAAACGGUAGCUAAUACCGCAUAAUGUCGCAAGACCAAAGAGGGGGACCUUCGGGCCUCUUGCCAUCGGAUGUGCCCAGAUGGGAUUAGCUAGUAGGUGGGGUAACGGCUCACCUAGGCGACGAUCCCUAGCUGGUCUGAGAGGAUGACCAGCCACACUGGAACUAAGACACGGUCCAGACUCCUACGGGAGGCAGCAGUGGGGAAUAUUGCACAAUGGGCGCAAGCCUGAUGCAGCUAUGCCGCGUGUAUGAAGAAGGCCUUCGGGUUGUAAAGUACUUUCAGCGGGGAGGAAGGGAGUAAAGUUAAUACCUUUGCUCAUUGACGUUACCCGCAGAAGAAGCACCGGCUAACUCCGUG